AGACAGAGAUUUUUUGGGCCCUUUUUCUCAAUUCCAGCAGCCCAAUAUGUUAAAAACGAUAUGCCAAAUUGCCAACAAUGCCAAUAUUUUCCAAACCCAGUCCACCUUCAGCAAUCCAUUCUCCCAUUCCUUCGACCUGGCCCAAAUCGUGUGUUCAAGGAAAAGUCCCAAUUGCAGAAACGACAACAGUGACAGCUUUGUGAGAAGACAGAAAACCACACGGUUAUAAGCAAAUUAGACGACGAGUUCACGAGGAGUAGCGAGGGACGUAGCACUCUGCCUCUCUCGUUGUUUUCUUCAUGUUUCCUCUCCCUUUCGUACGCUUUGACAGUCCUCAACCGAGCAGAGCAUGCAUCCCGUCCUUGGUGGCGUGAGAUUGAGCCACGUCUACACCAAGGACGGGAGAUCGAUCCUAGUCUAUUGAUUCCCCUUUCCUUUUAUGGAAUGGAGUUAAGUUUUCAGGAAAACGUGUCUACUCAAAAAAUGGUACAUUUUUCAGAAGCGUUGAAUUUCGAUUUGGACCGUUUUCUAAUCCGACUCCCCAUUUUUUUCAAAACCCUAAAUUUCAUUUAUAAAUACUCCUUUUCUUUUCAUUCAAGGAAGUCUGUAAAUUUUCUUCAAAAGAAAAUAUAGUAAUAGAAUCAGAAAAAUCAGAAAAGAAAGACAGUGAGUCUCCCUGGUUGGAGUAAAAGAGGUGAUAGUAAUUUUGGCGUUUGAGUUUAAGUCUCUGCCUGUAUUCCUAGGUUUUGAGAUCGAAGCUUUAUGUGGAAGAAAAUUGUUGUCCCCUGCUCGUUAUCAGUCUUCUUCGCUGCUGCAGAGAAGACGCAGGUACCCAGGAUCAGCACGUAGCGUUUCGUUGAUCUAGAUUGAGAUUUAGAGUUUGUGGUUCCGGUUAUUGAAGAGUUUGGAAGGCGAUAUUGUUGAAAGCUUGGAUUCCUUCUUUCAUACAAGUGGGGUAGGUCCUCAAAUUUCGAGGGAAAUGCCAUCUUCUAGCUUUGGAUUUUGUUAUGAGCUUAUUGACUGUAUCAUUUCUUUCCUUGUUAUUUGAAUAUUGUACUUUUGUAUGACCUAUACAUGGUCUUGAUGAAUUGAUGUAAGGGAUAUGCCCAUAUUGUGAUAUCCAUUUAGAUGGUAUGAGAUAAGACAGUCAUUGAUACUAUUGCUAUAUUUAUAUAUAUAUA